AGGCUCCAGCUAAAGCUCCUCCAUCCGCAGAAACUCGGCCCGACAGUGGUGGCAAAACUACUUUGGCCCCUGAUUACUGGCCCGGUUAUUUGUUCCCAUAUUUUAGUUACAAUUCGAGAGACUGCAGGGAUGAAGAUUAUAAUCCAAGACGAGAUGGUGCUGCGUGCCUGGUAACUCCAUUGGCGGAAGAAAUUGGUGGCCCGACGAACUGUUACGUUGGAGUUUGCUGGGAUGGCGCGUGUGCUGCCAUUCGACGAUCGAAAUGCUCCACAAUGUGACGUUAGAAAGUAGCAGGCACGCUUUGUUAGCGCCUAGUACCUCGUCAAAAUAAAAUAAUAAAAAAAUUGCUGUGAA
rnacentral:lncRNA from 1 species